AGCCUGUGAUGACAAAAUCAAAUACUUUUCUGACACCUCGUAUGAGAGCUUUUAGCUCCUGAUUCUAACUUUUGGCUGAGGCUC